rnacentral:rRNA from 1 species
UACGUAGGGGGCAAGCGUUGUCCGGAAUCAUUGGGCGUAAAGCGCGUGUAGGCGGUCCGGUAAGUCCGCUGUGAAAGUCCAGGGCUCAACCCUGGAAGGCCGGUGGAAACUGUCGGGCUAGAGUCCGGAAGAGGCGAGUGGAAUUCCCGGUGUAGCGGUGAAAUGCGCAGAUAUCGGGAGGAACACCAAUGGCGAAGGCAGCUCGCUGGGACGGUACUGACGCUGAGACGCGAAAGCGUGGGGAGCAAACAGG